CAGAGAUCGGCGCUGCUCUCUCGGGAUGUCGGGACUGGCCUUCGCAGCUCUCGUUCUUUGUCUCCACAUAACGGCGGUUGUGAAAUACGGUUCCGUCUGGGCAGACAUUGACUGUUUGGGAAAUUUGGACCUGAUGUUUGAAAGUUGUAUGUGGAACUGAAGCGGCAAAUGGCAAAGCAGAGAGCCCAGCCUCCGUUUCCAGCACAGGAUUUUCCGGAGCCUACGCAACUUCCGGACUUCAAUGGUUGCUGGUUACAGGGGCACGAGCCACGGCUUCUGCAAAUAUAAUGGCAUUGCUCCUUGUUACCGGAGUCCCAUCAUAUCAGCUGGGGCUCUGUAGUUCAAGUUACGAUCGUGACCCGCAGAUUGGUCUUCACGACAAACGGAUAGCUGCUUACGAACAGGAGGGCGGCUUCCGUUCCGCGACGUCAUGGAGGGGGGAGUAAGGGGUCUGACGUUUCUCGAUUAACAGAGACUCUGUUCCUGCACUGUACCGCUCUAUGGGUGAUACUAAACUAUUUCCACUAGAGGGCAGUCACGAACAAAGCGACAUAGUCACCAAAUAAAUGUUCUGCCUUUGAGGAGCUGGGUUUUCGGACAAGUUUUCACUCGGAGGGCGGGAAAUCUCUGAAACUCUUUACCCACGACCGAGAUCGGGGCAUGAUCGUUGGACAUACUUAUGGUGGAAAUUGAUAAAUAUUGGAAAGACAGGGAAUUGGACGGAGGAGCUUAAGGCUACACAGUUGAACCAUGAUCAACUGAUGGCGGCGGAGUCCGGAAGAUCAGAGUAGACAAAACAAACGGAAAUUGGGAUGAAUGCCGACAAUUCCACUUGUUAAUUAACUUCAAUUGAUUUACUGACAAGUUAACAUGUGACCUCUGAGGAACGGUAAAUCUUCUG